rnacentral:rRNA from 2 species
AAAUUGAAGAGUUUGAUCAUGGCUCAGAUUGAACGCUGGCGGCAGGCCUAACACAUGCAAGUCGAACGGUAGCACAGAGAGCUUGCUCUCGGGUGACGAGUGGCGGACGGGUGAGUAAUGUCUGGGAAACUACCUGAUGGAGGGGGAUAACUACUGGAAACGGUGGCUAAUACCGCAUAACGUCGCAAGACCAAAGAGGGGGACCUUCGGGCCUCUUGCCAUCAGAUGUGCCCAGAUGGGAUUAGCU